rnacentral:lncRNA from 1 species
GGACCACAUUCGAUCUAAUUACGACCAAAAAUUGCAUUCUGUCGCCAAAAUCCCAUUUUUUUUCUCUCGAUGAACAAAACCCACAUUUUCGAAUGCCGAGUAGAUCCAUAAAAAUAUGGGUACGUACAAAGCAAUUGUGUAUAUCUACACAUUGGUUACGUAGAAAACAAAUAUGACUUGUAGUGACCGUAUGAAUUCCCACUAGCUACUAAUUAAAUAAUUGUGACCGUUCUCCUAUACGGUCUCUAAUUAGUAUCCGGAUAGGGACGACAGUUAAUUAAACGCAUGGUUAUGUAUACUUGAUUCUCUCUGAUUUGGUCGACGUGAGAAAUAUUCAUACCGAUCGGGUUAAUAAAGGUGGAGAGUGACGAGAUGAGAAUAUGGCAUGGUGAAAAGAUGAUAGAUAUCAAGAAUCCAACAAACUUACCUCUGCGAUGGAGCUUGGGGCCGUCAGAAACGGCGGAAUCGAAGACGGAAGCGACGCGCAGCAGCAGGUGCUCCAUCUUCGUUCUUCCAUCGCAGAAAUCAGAAAGAGGAAGAAGAAAAGGGACUCGCGAUUUAAUAGUUGCCGAUUAACAACCGUUAUCUCCAAAACUGCCGUUAAAGACAAUCUCGUAUGAGUAGCAGAUCCCCGUAUUAAAGAUAACCUCGAUCCUUUCUCACCAAUAAAGACAACGGAAAUGAUUAAAAAAUGUCAACAACAUAAUACAUAAAAGACACGUCCUGCUACUAGCAAUCGGGGGGAAAUCCCCUUAAUUCCACCACAAACGUGCUAGUCUGAGAGCGGCUUCAAGUUGUCAGCCCCUACGGUGGCUUCUCCACCAGCUCGGCCAGAGACAGUGCCGCAACUAAUUGGAUCAAAAUUUCCGGACCUGCAAAGCGAUUGGCAGUCGGACCUGCAGGGCGAUUGGGGCGCGGAGCCCCUCCUGGAGAUUCUCCUGGAGUCGCGGCGGUCGCCCUCGGCGCCAGGGUUGCCACUGGUCGCGUUGCCCAACAGAAAGGGAACCCUGGCGGCCCGCUACUUUGGAGCUCGGCGACAGUGGUGUUAACGAGGUUAACGAGAGGGUUGCGGUGAGGGAGAGCAACAGUUGCGUCGGGGGCUAGGGCACGCCGAUUUGGUGGAUGUGCUGCGGCGACGGUGGCUUUGAUGGGGAGGAGGGAGGCUUGGUUGGCGGAUUUGGGAGGCAUGAUGGAUUGUUGUUGUACGGUUAGGAUUUUGAGAUCUCUCUAAAAAAAAGCAACUUAUCUCUUCUAAAAAGAGCAACCAGGGCAGCCUGAUUCUUAGCUAGCAAUUCUUUUGAUAGCUAGCUGCAAUUCUUUGGCAUGUAAUGAUGGAUCGCCAUUGAAAAUCUAUCGGUCCAGCAGCUCGUCUCCACGCUCCACUUCUACCACGAGAAUGAGUCACUCAUUGCAAUUUCGAGCCGCAGAACCUCCUUCUCAACUCCGACGGGAACUUGAAGCCGUCGAACAUCGGUUUGUCCGCAUUGGCCGAGGUUGCGGAGACGGACAAUAGUGUAAAAAUUUGUCAUAACUCAAAUCACAUACCAGUACCCACCCUACAUUUAUGAUAAAUAUCAAGCAUCCAACAAACAUAAAAAGAAAUUAGCACCUUGUUUGAAUUUUAGUUUUAGAAAGAGGCAAUUCGAAAUAGUUAAUAAUUUUAUAAAUAUCUUAUUUGUUUUUUAAAAUUGAGAGUAAUUCUAGAUUUCUAAUAUUUUAAAUAAAAAAAAGUUAAAUCAACUUAUUUUUAAAAAAGACUAUUUUGCCUUUUAGUUUUAAUAUUAGUCUUUCUAAUUGUUAUAUUUUAAAUUUUAAGUGAAGUUGCUCUAGUGGUAGAGCGUGUGUCUGGUGAUCCUGAGGUUUAGUGUUCAAAUCCUAAAUACCCCACGAUAUGGAUACUAAUGUAAUGUUUAUUUCCUUUCUUCUAUUGACCGGGAGUCUCGAUCUACUCCGACAAAACAUUAUUAUUCUUCAAAUGACAUCUACUUUAAUUAAGUCGUUGUGUCAUUUUUAGCUCAAAUCACUUUAGAAAUCUUCAAAUCACACCAACUUCAUUUUAAUUUCAAAUCAACUUUCACGAAACUUCGUCCCUACUUUUGUUUACAAAGAAUUGCAGCAGCCUUUUGAUUUAGUUCCCUCUCCAGCAAUCAAUUCUUUGAUCCCGACUCCACCUACUUUCGUAAUGAUGGUUGCGGUUGGCAUCAUGAUUACUAUGAUCUCGAGAUAAGCUUUGUGUAGGACCUUUGUGUCUUGGGAGUGGCUGAUGAUGGAUGGACCAUAUUCUUGCAAGCUAAAAUUGACAUGGAUUUCUAACCAUCAAGUAUUUUGAAAACUUGUCUUUUUUCCUACCUAUUCAUCAUUAUUAUCAUGUACUACUGCCCAGCUAGCUAGCCAGCCAGCACCAACCUUGCUAGCUAGGUCCAUUUGGGUUCAUAUCACAUCACAUAUGAUUGAUUAUUAACCAUGGCUUUUGAUUCGUAGAUGGAUAGAAUAUGCAUGCUAUACCAUCCAUCAACUAAAAGCCUAGCUAGCGCUUUUCCGUACGGGCUCGUUUUUACCGACACGAUUCACUAUAGGUUAUUGGUUGUUCAUGUUUUGUAGGCGAUGAGACGAACAUGUCUUGGAGCUCGUGGAUGUUCGUGAUGUUUGUACUUGGUGUUUCCUACAUGUAUUUGACAGGUGGACAUCAAGGGCAAUGCUAUAAGGUCAUUCUUUCUCGAUUCGAUCACCGAUGCAGGCGCUAUGGAGGGUAGCGAUGCAUCAAUUCAGAGGUUUUGACAUCCCUGACUACUUGUCUUCGGUUCCAUGUGCAGGUUGUUCAACAUAGAGCUGCCCAUUUAGUAGUGCGUGAAAGACUCUUUAAUAUCAUCUAUAUAUCCCAAACUAUUUUGAAUUGUGAUACGACACCC